UUAAUUGAAACCAAAAAGAGGUAUAUCACUGUUAAUGAUACCAUUGAGCCAUUCUCCAAUUAAA
rnacentral:tRNA from 1 species